rnacentral:rRNA from 1 species
ACACGUGAGCAACCUGCCCCUCACUCUGGGAUAAGCGCUGGAAACGGCGUCUAAUACUGGAUACGAGUUGGAGCCGCAUGGUUACCAACUGGAAAGAUUUUUUGGUGGGGGAUGGGCUCGCGGCCUAUCAGCUUGUUGGUGAGGUAAUGGCUCACCAAGGCGUCGACGGGUAGCCGGCCUGAGAGGGUGACCGGCCACACUGGGACUGAGACACGGCCCAGACUCCUACGGGAGGCAGCAGUGGGGAAUAUUGCACAAUGGGCGGAAGCCUGAUGCAGCAACGCCGCGUGAGGGAUGACGGCCUUCGGGUUGUAAACCUCUUUUAGCAGGGAAGAAGCGAAAGUGACGGUACCUGCAGAAAAAGCACCGGCUAACUACGUGCCAGCAGCCGCGGUAAUACGUAGGGUGCAAGCGUUAUCCGGAAUUAUUGGGCGUAAAGAGCUCGUAGGCGGUUUGUCGCGUCUGCUGUGAAAUCCCGAGGCUCAACCUCGGGCCUGCAGUGGGUACGGGCAGACUAGAGUGCGGUAGGGGAGAUUGGAAUUCCUGGUGUAGCGGUGGAAUGCGCAGAUAUCAGGAGGAACACCGAUGGCGAAGGCAGAUCUCUGGGCCGUAACUGACGCUGAGGAGCGAAAGGGUGGGGAGCAAACAGGCUUAGAUACCCUGGUAGUCCACCCCGUAAACGUUGGGAACUAGUUGUGGGGUCCUUUCCACGGAUUCCGUGACGCAGCUAACGCAUUAAGUUCCCCGCCUGGGGAGUACGGCCGCAAGGCUAAAACUCAAAGGAAUUGACGGGGACCCGCACAAGCGGCGGAGCAUGCGGAUUAAUUCGAUGCAACGCGAAGAACCUUACCAAGGCUUGACAUACACCAGAACACCGUAGAAAUACGGGACUCUUUGGACACUGGUGAACAGGUGGUGCAUGGUUGUCGUCAGCUCGUGUCGUGAGAUGUUGGGUUAAGUCCCGCAACGAGCGCAACCCUCGUUCUAUGUUGCCAGCACGUAAUGGUGGGAACUCAUGGGAUACUGCCGGGGUCAACUCGGAGGAAGGUGGGGAUGACGUCAAAUCAUCAUGCCCCUUAUGUCUUGGGCUUCACGCAUGCUACAAUGGCCGGUACAAAGGGCUGCAAUACCGUGAGGUGGAGCGAAUCCCAAAAAGCCGGUCCCAGUUCGGAUUGAGGUCUGCAACUCGACCUCAUGAAGUCGGAGUCGCUAGUAAUCGCAGAUCAGCAACGCUGCGGUGAAUACGUUCCCGGGUCUUGUACACACCGC